rnacentral:rRNA from 1 species
GGUCUUAGCUUGCUAAGGCCGAUGGCGACCGGCGCACGGGUGAGUAACGCGUAUCCAACCUGCCUUACACUCUUGGACAGCCUUCUGAAAGGGAGAUUAAUACAAGAUGUUAUCAUGAGUAAGCAUUUUCGCAUGAUUAAAGGUUUACCGGUGUAAGAUGGGGAUGCGUUCCAUUAGAUAGUAGGCGGGGUAACGGCCCACCUAGUCUUCGAUGGAUAGGGGUUCUGAGAGGAAGGUCCCCCACAUUGGAACUGAGACACGGUCCAAACUCCUACGGGAGGCAGCAGUGAGGAAUAUUGGUCAAUGGACGAGAGUCUGAACCAGCCAAGUAGCGUGAAGGAUGAAGGUUCUAUGGAUUGUAAACUUCUUUUAUACGGGAAUAAACGGAUCCACGUGUGGAUUUUUGCAUGUACCGUAUGAAUAAGGAUCGGCUAACUCCGUGCCAGCAGCCGCGGUAAUACGGAGGAUCCGAGCGUUAUCCGGAUUUAUUGGGUUUAAAGGGAGCGUAGAUGGGUUGUUAAGUCAGUUGUGAAAGUUUGCGGCUCAACCGUAAAAUUGCAAUUGAUACUGGCAGUCUUGAGUACAGUUGAGGUAGGCGGAAUUCGUGGUGUAGCGGUGAAAUGCUUAGAUAUCACGAAGAACUCCGAUUGCGAA